GCCUUCGGGUUGUAAAGCACUUUUGUCCGGAAAGAAAACCUCCUGGUUAAUACCUGGGGGGGAUGACGGUACCGGAAGAAUAAGCACCGGCUAACUACGUGCCAGCAGCCGCGGUAAUACGUAGGGUGCAAGCGUUAAUCGGAAUUACUGGGCGUAAAGCGUGCGCAGGCGGUUCGCUAAGACAGAUGUGAAAUCCCCGGGCUUAACCUGGGAACUGCAUUUGUGACUGGCGGGCUAGAGUAUGGCAGAGGGGGGUAGAAUUCCACGUGUAGCAGUGAAAUGCGUAGAGAUGUGGAGGAAUACCGAUGGCGAAGGCAG
rnacentral:rRNA from 1 species